rnacentral:rRNA from 1 species
AACGAACGCUGGCGGCAGGCCUAACACAUGCAAGUCGAACGCUGUAGCAAUACAGAGUGGCAGACGGGCGAGUCACGCGUGGGAACAUGCACUUCGGUUCGGAAUAACCAAGGGAAACUUGAGCUAAUACCGGAUAAGCCCUUAGGGGGAAAGAUUUAUUGCCGAAGGAUUGGCUCGCGUCCGAAUAGCUAGUGGGGGAGGUAAUGGCUCACCAAGGCGACGAUCGGUAGCGGGUCUGAGAGGAUGAUCAGUCACACUGGGACUGAGACACGGCCCAGACUCCUACGGGUGGCAGCAGGGGGGAAGAUUGGACAAUGGGCGCAAGCCUGAUCCAGCCAUGCCGCGUGAGUGAUUAAGGCCCUAGGGUUGUAGAGCUCUUUCGCCGGGGACGAUAAUGACGGUACCUUGAUAAGAAGCCCCGGCUAACUUCGUGCCAGCCGCCGCGGUAA